rnacentral:rRNA from 1 species
GACGAACGCUGGCGGCGUGCUUAACACAUGCAAGUCGAACGAUGAACCCGGAGCUUGCUCCGGCGGAUUAGUGGCGAACGGGUGAGUAACACGUGAGUAACCUGCCCUUGACUCUGGGAUAACUGCUAGAAAUGGUAGCUAAUACCGGAUACGACCCUCGGUGGCAUCACCAGGGGGUGGAAAGAAUUUCGGUCAAGGAUGGACUCGCGGCCUAUCAGCUAGUUGGUGAGGUAACGGCUCACCAAGGCGAAGACGGGUAGCCGGCCUGCGAGGGUGCCCGGCCACACUGGUACUGAGACACGGCCCAGACUCCUACGGGAGGCGGCAGUGGGGAAUAUUGCACAAUGGGCGCAAGCCUGAUGCAGCAACGCCGCGUGAGGGAUGACGGCCUUCGGGUUGUAAACCUCUUUUAGUAGGGAAGAAGCGAAAGUGACGGUACCUGCAGAAAAAGCACCGGCUAACUACGUGCCAGCCGCCGCAGUAA